GACAUCUAUGGCCAACAGAGUUAAGGAUAAUGAGGAGUUUUUUAAUUAACUUAGGAACAAAAAGAAUCCUAACAAUGGUAUUGGUCCAUUACAAUACCAUUGCAUCUAUUUUACCUAUGCACCCACGAAAGCUCAUGCGCCAAUACGUCUGUUAGUCUAUAAGGUGGCACAGAACUCUUUGCUGCUUUUACAGAUCCAGACUAACACGGCUCCUCCUCUGAUACUUUCAGGUGAGGCUCUCUCACAUUCAUGUGACUUCAGGAGCUAGAGCUUUAAGAAAAAUGCCAAAUAUCGGAAGAUUUGGCAACAUUGCAACUGGGGCCAGCUUUUCAAAAGAUCUCUGCUAAAAAUGGCCAGGAUUUCAGAAGUGUUCAGCUCCCAUUGUGACUCUCAGGACCAGCUUUUUGAACAGGCUGAUCUCUUCUGGAAAGCUGGUUCUGAAGUCCUUUUGAUUCCUCCAAGCAUACUUGAGUGGUGUCUCCGACUUGAACUGGUUCCUCUGCACAGCAGUGAAUUUCAUCCAGCCAGUGCUGGCAGCCUGCAGAGUAAUCUCCUUGGGGUUGAGGGAGGGGAAACCCCAUUGCUCAGAUCAUUUCAAACCAAACUGGCCAAAGCACUAGAGAAAAGAGCAUGGGGAACGAUCCUGUGCUGGCUUCGCUGGAGGGGAGUGGACAAGGUGACCCAAUAAGUGUUUUCAGUCAGCGAAUCCCAUGGGUAAGAGCAAGAUGAGCUGAUGUCACAGAGUACUGGAAUCAGUUUGAAGAGAGAGGGUGAAGUAGUAAAUGAAAGCGCCACAGGAACGAAGUAUAUGGACCAUCAUACUGUUUUACAUUCACACAGCACCUUUCCUCCCGGGAUGUGCUGCCAGCUACCUACACAUGGGCUAGAGGACAGCCACAGCAGCAAAUCUGGAACUAUUCCCGCUGUUGAACUGGUUCCAACUCCCUUCCAUCCACAGAGUUAUUGCAGGAAAUGUGUCAAAGUAAAA